AGAAGAAGAAGAAGAAGAAGAAGAGUAGUAGUAGUAGUAGUAGUAGUAGUUUGGAUUUGAUAUCCCACUUUAUCACUAUCCGAAGGAGUCUCAAAACGGCUAACAUUCUCCUUUCCCUUCCUCCCCCACAACAAACACUCUGUGAGGUGAGUGAGGCUGAGAGACUUCAAAGAAGUGUGACUAGCCCAAGGUCACCCAGCAGCUGCAUGUGGAGGGGCGGAGACGCGAACCCAGUUCACCAGAUUACGAGUCUACCGCUCUUAACCACUACACCACACUGGCUCUCUUGGGAGGUUGUGGACUCUCCUUCCUUGGAGGUUUUUAAGCAGAGGUUGGAUGGCCCUCUGUCAUGGAUGCUUUAUGAGAUUCCUGCAUUGCAGGAGUUUGAACUAGAUGACCCAAGGGGUCUUUUCCAACUCUACAAUUCCAUGGUUCUACGAAUCUUCCAGCAUUCAGUUGCAUUGGAUCCCCAUGAGUCCUAGUGUGUCAUGAGAGAGGGAGAAAAACUUUCCUCUAAUGGCUGUGUCCAUACCAUGCAUUAUUGUAUACACUUCUAUCAUGUUGUCUCUUGCUUGGCUUGUCUCUAAAUUUAAAAACCCCAAAUGUUUCCUCGUAGGUUUCUACACAUGCUCACAGACCUCUCUCUAUCCUCUUUCCAGGCAAGCAAGAGGCACUAUCAGAAUUACAGGACACUUUCCAGUCAGGUAGAAACAUUCAAGGAAGUUGUGAAACAGGGUCAGUAAGGGGUGUGGCUUGGGAAGGGGGCGUGGCCUGGGGUGAGUCCCAGGAGCCAGCAGAGAGACAUUUGACCCGUGAGCCCCACCCCUGUUUUAAGCUGUAAGUCUUCUUUCCAUCAAGAACUGGCUUCCUUCAGUGGCCCACAUUCUGUGGGGGUUGGGGAAUUGGACUUAAGCACAGAGAGAGGUUUUCAUGGCUUGUAUGACCUUGGUAAUUUGGUCCUCUGAGAGGAACAGAUAUUAGCUGCAUGUUCCUUGCAUGACCUCCACUGGGUCAGAACACAAUGAGUCUGGAUAUGGGCAGAGAAUGAGCAACAGACAUUAGAUACAUUUAACUGAGGGUAGCUAGGACUUCCCCUGUGGGUUUCUAUUUAUGAGGAUGGAACAAAAGCACUGCUCUUAUUCCCGAAAAUGCCAACAACCUGCUCAAUACAUUUCUGUAACAUGCUGAAUAAUGCAAAAUCAUACUGACAGACUAUGGAAUAUCCUGAUUUUGACAUCUGACCUAAAUUAAGCCCUAGACAUCCCUGUAAGACAAGGCAGAAAUCAAAAGGCAGCUUUUAAUUCGCUGGAAAAUGAUAGUAAACAUCGGCUUAACCUGUUCAGCAACAAUCAUCCCAGUAUCAUUAUUAUUAGCCUACUCUUCUUUAUACCUGAAUGCAAAAAAUAUUUAUUUGCAGCCUGGAUUUCAGAAGUAAGGCUCAUGAUGCUUACUGCUUAGUUAUACCCACUUAUCUGGAAGAAAGUCGUGAUGAAGCCCAUGGGGCUUACUUCUGAAAAGGCAUUUAAAGGAUUGUGCUGCAAGUUCCAAGUAAAUGUGCAUGCAGCGACAGCUUUAGACAAAACAGGACUAAUCCUGAGGAAACAAUGUUUAGGAUCGGAGGAUUAAGAAAGUGAAUGAGGUGAUUUCAGGAUUUUAAAAAAUACAUUUGCUGAAGAAUUCUUGAAUGACCGCUCCCCACUUCAAAUGGGGGGUGCUUUUUGUGUGGUCGUGCACAGCCCUACACGAUCCCCGGCUAGUCAGGCUGGCUUCGCCUCCCCAAGCUGGAUACCUGGAGGUUCCCGCCUAAGCUCAGACAGUUAACCAAUCCCAGCUGGGGAGGUGUUGCAUGAGGAGUGACUGCCCUGCACACACAAUAGAGGGUGGAACUUAUCUGACAGUCCUCAGUCGGCUCCAGAGCUUCUCCCACCCUGCCCUCCCUCAGUUUAUGCCUUCCUUUUGCAGGCUAACCUUUUCCUUACAGGUAUGUGGGUGCUGCUACGGUCAUUGAUGUUGCUGUUGAAGGACCGGGAAGGAAUUUCCCUGCAUUGGCAGGUUUUGCCUUCCCCGUAGCAAAACAUCACAACUUGGGCGGUUUCACUGGCCUUGGGUGGAAUCCUUUAGUCUAUCUUCCCUAAAUGGGGGGGGCGCAAAACGGUGACCCACGCCCCCCUGCAGCGGCGAUCCCAGGGUUCCCUGUUAAAGGGGUUGUUUUGAGGGGAGUCACUGGCCGUACGCUGUUAGGUUGUCAGUGCUCUCCCCUGCGUUGCGGGGGCGAGCUCUCUGCUUAAACAUACGUUUUCCAGAGCCAACCCAAUCCCCACACAGUUUGGAUAACCCUGAUGUUGCCCAGAUCCCCAGCUGGGGACUGGGAGGGAUAAACGCCCAAUGCCUAAGCCAAGGUCUCCAUACAUCUAAAAGUUUAAUAAAGUUGUGGCCAAUUUUAAUCCCAUAACACGUUGUCAUGAGUCAUUAUUCCUGCCGGGGGUCUCCUGGGGUCUCCGCCUGGCCACGCAAUGUGAUUUACAUGAGACUUGUUUUCAAAAUGUGUAUGUGUAUUAGGGUCAUCAACCAGUUCAAGAUCUUUAGUAGCAUCAUCAUCAUCUACCUUUCAAUUGAUUAAUGAAUUGCUUUGGGAUUGAGAACAUGGGCUUGAAAGAGCACAUCUUCAUUUGAGACUCUGUCCUGCCAUGCAAUGCCCCAAAGCUUCCUGAUGCAGCGCGUGUGGAAGGCAUAGAGGCAUCUCUGCAGGUGGCUGCAAGUUGUUCAUGACUCUCUUCCAUAAAGCAGUGUGCUCAUCAAAUGAGCCUGGAAGACCUUCAUCUUGGCAUUGGACCACCACCCUCAAUUCUGUAGGUGGUAUCCAACAAACCUGUUCCACCAGCGCAAGGAUUUGCACUUGCCCAGUGGAACUUCCCCUUCUCCUCACCCUGCACCACCCCCACAGCUGCUCUGGAGGGUUGGGAGGCAGAAGAGAUUUGGGGGUUGUGUGGGAGGAAGGGAAAAGUUCCUACCUGGAGAUACCAGGGGUUGGACAUGAGACCUUCUGCAUGCAAAGCACAUGCUCUGCCAUUGAACUAUGACUCCCACUUGAAAUGGAAAACAGUGUAUGCUAGGGGAAUACAGGGGUAGCCUUCAAUAUUCCCACCCCCCUGGAAAGCAACAUGACAAAGCAAGGAGUGCAUUAUACCUGGCCAGUGAACUGACAGAUUCUUACUUCUGUUUGGGAAAUGCCAUCUAUUCACUGAGAGAUACCCCUCCCCGCUCCCAGUCUCAAGAGCAAAAAAUGUCCAUUACUUUGUAUUCUCCUUGUCCCAAAGUCCCAAUAUAUCACCACGAAGUACUCCUCAGCGUUUCAAAUUAUAAAAUCAAUCUCUAUUUAGGUAAGAGGGGGGGAGAUAUUUCUUAAUUUUAUUUUUUUUAAUAAUGUGUUUUUGUGAGUUGUGUUCCUGCUCUCGGUGUUGUAUUAUUUAUUUAUCAGGCCUAUGGGGUGCCCUGCCACAUGGUAAUAAGAGAAUCUGCAGAAACGAGAGACAUAAGCAAAACCACAGUUAGCAAUAUUGCAACACUGUAGGACCUAUUUGAAAAUUAACGGAAGGGAACAAAACUGCAAGGCAAUGACAAUGCACUGAAGCUUCCUCCCUCCCCAGCCUGCCCACUGCAGAACAUUUGCUGCAGAAAGGAGAUUAAAAUGAAAUAGGACAGUUAUUCAUCGAUUAAAAGUGAGCCAGUAAAAGAACGAACGGAGAGAACCAGUGUGGUAUAAUGGUUAGAGCUCUGGACUGGGACUUGGGAGAACCAAGUUCAAAUCACCACUCGUGCCAUGAAGCUCACCUUGGGCCAGACGCCAAUUCUCAUUCUAGCCUACCUCACAGGGUUGUUGUGAGGAUAAAAUGAGGAGGAGGAGAAUCGCGUACACCACCUUGAAUUCCUUGGAGGAAAGGUGGGAUAUAAAUGUAACAGCAGCUACCUAGACAUCCUUUCCAAUAACCUCUCCCAGUCUACACACACACAUACACACGUGCUCACUUACACAGAUGAAAUAUACUCAGUCAAGUGUGAAUUUCAUGCUCUUUAUUCAGCUCAUAGUGGCAAUGAAUGAAACUUUCCCCAAAACAUCUAGCUAUAUAUACAUUAUUUACACAAUGGGCCCCGUGUGAUUGGCUAAUUCUGGGCUGCUCCUGCAGGCCAAUCAGGUUGCUGAUUCACUUCAUCCAGGAGCCUGAUUGGCUGCUCCUGCAUAUUUGAAUGUUACACCCUUGUACAGACUGUUGGUUUCUAUUUCCCUCACUGAGCAGCAACUGCAGUCACAAGACAUUGUUUUGCAUUCCACAGUCAGAGGUACUGUUGGGUUUCUCACGGGAAAGGGAGACUGGAUGUGACGUACACUGGUUUCCUGUUUUUACACUGUGUGUUUCUCUCCAAGCUGUUGAGGAGAGAGGAUGCUUUUUUCUGCUCCUGCAGAGGCAAGAUGUCUUUCUGUAAUAUACCAGCUUUGAACUGUAAAUAAAGCAAUAAAGAGUAUGCAGCACGUAUUCUCAUCCUUCCGCUGGCCACGACAGACUCUGCUUUAAAUCAACACGUGGUUAUGGGCCCAGGAGUCGAAUCGGAGUGCCGGCAAAGGAUCGGAAUGCAGAGGGACGGAUCGGAAAGGAAUCUGCUCUGCGCGUAGAAGUGAUUGAUGAGGUAUGUGCUACUGCUCCGGGCAGCCUGCCAGCUUCAAGUUAAUGGCUUUAUGGCUGGACUUUGAACUUUUAAAGCCGGUUUUGCCGGGAAUAGGCAAAAGGCUCCCAGGCACAAGUCACUAUGCUGGGGAAAUCGAAAGUAACUUUUAAGUGUGCCUUUGUAAUGAGGCAGCUGCAGCAGUGACGCAGCAAGAUUUAAAGCAGCAUAUGACGCUGAAGGCUAAUGCCAGAGUCAUGAUGGCCCUUCAGGAUGCUUGUGGGAUUCCUAAGCUCAACAAGAAAAAUUACAGCGACUGGGUUCAGUAUGCAGAGGCAAUUCUGCGGAAAGAGGGUUUGUUUGAGGUGAUUACAGCAACCCCCCCAGUUCCAGUUACAGAUGCAUGGGAAGCUAAGGAUUCCAAAGCAAGGGGAACUCUUACAUUGAUAGUAUCCCCAGAAGAGCUCUGUCUAUUGCGUGAUAAGACCUCAGCCAGAGAAAUUUGGGACGCUCUGAAAGAGGCUCACUUAAGGACAGAAGCUGGAUCCACUAUGUAUUAUUUUAACAAGCUGCAUAAUAUGGCUCUUGCUGAAGGUGGAGAUGUGCGUUUACAUCUAAUGGAGAUGCAAAAUCUGAGACAUGAGCUGCAACAGAGAGGACUCAACUUUCCAGAGGCUGUGUAUUCUUUCAUGAUACUACAAUCUUUGGGUUCAGGUUGGGAGUCUGUUGCAACCCAGAUUGCUGUGCAACCAACUGCUCAGCUGACAGUGGACUUUGUUACUGCCGUGAUUUUAAAUGAAGCAGAUCGCCGGGGUGCUAGCUGCAUGGGCAAGGGAGAGUCUUCACAGACGUCAUCCCAUAGUGCAGUGGAACCACCAGAUGGCGCCAAAGCUUUGAAGGCAGUCAAAUGCUACUCGUGUGGACGUCUAGGCCAUAUGAAGAGGGAAUGCAGACAUCCCAGGGCCAAGACAGAGCAGCGCAGCGAAAGCUCAUCGCGCGGAAAAGGCCGAGGCAAAGGCAAGGGUCCGGUGUCAAGGACAACGCAGCACAAGGCUUUGGUUUCACGCUUCACUCCAAAGGUUGCAGAGGUCCAGAAGACGUCUAGAUCUUUCUUCGUUGUUGAUUCAGCGGCGACCCACCACAUGUGCAACGAUAAGAAACUGUUUGUGUCUUUUACACCGCAGGAAGGUGCGAUUCACCAGGCGGAUGACCACACUAUUCCCAGUAAAGGCUACGGAACUGUUGUUCUUCACAGUUUGGACUUAUCGAUACAGAAUGUGCUUUACGUGCCAGACGCCAAACAUAAUCUGCUCAGCGUUGGACAGCUGAAUGAGCGGAACAUUGACGUUUCCUUCAAGAACAAGAAGUGCAUCAUCACAAAGAAAAAUGAUUAUGUAUUGCAUGCAGAAUAUGUUGAUCAUUUGUUUGUUUUGUAUUAUGAUGAUGUGGUGCAGGAUGACACUUGUUGCAUUGCAGGUUCUAACAAAAGUUUGCAUGCAGAAUGUAUUCACGAUUUUCAUCGCAAAUUUGGUCAUUUGAAUUUUGAGGCAGUAUCUAAAAUGCCUGCCUUGGUUGAAGGUAUGACUAUUAAACCCUGCAGGUACCACAUGAAGUGCAAAGCAUGCGCAGCAAACAAGGUGAAAAUGGCUGCGAAAGGUAAGGUGUCUAGUAGGCAAGCUACAGAACCAUACCAGGUUGUUCAUGCUGAUUUGGUUGGACCACUACCGCCCUCUUUAGGUGGAAAUAGAUACUUCAUGGUUCUCAUUGAUGCAUAUUCUAGAUAUAUUUUUGUGUACAAUCUCAAGCAGAAAUCGGAGGCUUUUCCUAGGUUCAAGGAAUUCUGUGCUUGGUUGGAAAAUGUGCAUGGUAAGAAGAUAAAGACUCUUUUCAGUGAUCGCGGGGGGGAAUUCACUUCUCAGCAGUUUGAAGCAUUUCUGACUGAGAAAGGAAUUCAACACGAUUUGUCUAGUCCUCGCUCGCCAUGGCAGAAUGGACUUGCGGAACGGGCAAAUCAGACAUUGCUUCAAGGGUUAAAGACCUUGCUGCAUGAUGCCAAUCUUCCAGAGAGUUAUUGGGCCGAAUCUCUCUCGUGUUUUGUUUACAGUUACAAUCGCAGAUUAUCUUCAGCGAUUGGGUGUACCCCCUAUGAGAAGAUGUUUGGCAAGAAGCCAUACAUCAGACACAUGAAGAUUUUUGGUUCUGACAUGUGGGUUCGCUCACCACAAAACUCCAAGUUAGACAAGCGUGGAUUGCAUGGUAUCUUUCUAGGUUAUCAGAAAGGGUCUUACAGAAUAAUGAUGACUGACUCCAAGACAAUUAAGCUCACGAGAAGUGUUGAGUACAAUGCAAAGUGGGGGGAGAAUGUGGGAAUUUUCCAAUGUUAUCCUGAUGACGGUGAUGAGACUGAGGAUAGUCAAAAGCAACCACAACAGCCCACACCCACUGAUGAAGGUUCUGAGUCUGAAUCUGAAACUGAAUCGGGUGAUUCAGAGGAUUUCGAGAGUGCGAAAGCCUCUAUGCGACCCUCUGAAAGCUCUGAUCAAGAAUUGGAGGAACCAUUGUUCACAAUAGGUCGUUUUUCUCCUAAGAAGGAAGAGGAGAGUGUUGAAGACUUAAGGCUAAUUCGUAGGUCACAGAGAGCCACAAAAGCAAACCUCCAAAGAGAUUUGCUGAUGAGUUUGCUACGAUAGCAGUAACAGCUGUUAAAAGCUCCAAGAAGGUAUUUGAACCUUCAAGUUUCCAAGAAAUCCAGGGUUUGGAUUCAAAGGAAGCUGAGCCAUGGUUAAAUGCCAUGAAGGCUGAGCUUGAUUCCUUAGAAAGGAACAAAACAUGGGAGCUAGUUCCAGUAGUUCCAGGAAUGAAACUGCUUGGAAGCAAAUGGGUCUUCAAAGCGAAGACAGAUCAAAAUGGCAAGAUAGUCAGACACAAAGCCAGAUUGGUAGCCAGAGGUUUUGCACAGGUACCAGGUGAAGACUAUCACGAGACCUAUUCACCCACAGUGAGAUAUGAAAGCAUUAGGCUUAUGCUUAAGCUAGCUGCAGAAGAAAAUCUACACAUUAGUCACCAUGAUAUUAAUACAGCUUUUCUGUACGGAUCUCUAAAUGAAUCACUUUAUAUGCUUCCACCUGAUGGCGUACAGGUAAAACAGGGAUUUGUUUGUGCUCUGAAGAAAUCCCUUUAUGGUCUCAAACAAAGUGCACGGUGUUGGCACACAAAACUCACUGAAGUAUUGUUUUCUCUAGGUUUUCAGCAAGGGAAAGCUGAUCCAUGUGUAUUUGUCAAAGAGGAGGGGCAAAAGAAACUGUACUGUUUGUUUUAUAUUGAUGAUUUAUUAUUCUUUUGGAAAGAUGUCGCAAUGUACAAUAACGCCCUAGCUCAACUGAAAGAGCACUUUGACAUGAAAGAUCUUGGUGAGGUAAACAACUACCUAUCUCUGGAAAUAGAGAGAGAUCAAGAUGGUAACAUUCUAGUACACCAGUCACGGAAAAUUGCUGAUGUGUUAAGCAAACUAAAUCUGAUGGAUGCUAACCCUGUAGACACACCGAUGACAACAGGUUAUCAGGUAGAUGACACUGAAGAAGCAUUUUCUGACACUACACUGUACAGGAGUGUGCUAGGCAAGCUAAACUUCAUUGCCAGAUGUUCAAGACCAGACAUUGCUGUUAGCUGUAAUUUGCUAAGCAGACAAGUCAACAAUCCUAGUGUCAAGGAUUGAAAGCUCUGAAACGCAUAGCGCGGUAUUUGAAAGGCACUAUGCAUUACAGACUGAGAUUUAACAAUCAGAAGUCUGGUGGUCUUGAGAUAUUUGCAGAUGCAAGUUUUGGAAGUGACACUACAGACAGGAAAAGUACGUCUGGAGUUUGCUACAUGUACAAUCAGAGUCUGUUUGAUUGGUCAUGCAAGAAGCAAACAACAGUUAGCUUAAGUACUUGUGAAGCUGAACUGAAUGCACUGUCUUAUUCACUUAAGGAUUGUGAAUGGUUAGUACAAUUGUGCAAAGAUAUGAAAAUUCCUGUCAAAUGUCCAAUCCAGGUUUACCAGGACAACAAAGCAUGUUUGGCUUUGCUCAAGUCUGAAGGUUGUAAGCAAAGCACAAAGCACUUGCAAUUAAAGUUGCAGCAUGCUAGGGAAUGUAUUCAGAAGGGACUCGUAACGGUGUCCUAUAUGCCAGGUAAUGAAAUUCCUGCUGAUGUAUUGUCCAAGAUUGUAUCAAGGGAUCAACACUGUACCUAUGUGCAGAAGUUGGGUUUGUACUGAUACUGUACGAACACGCUGCCCAGUGAUGUUCACAGAAAGGGGGAGGAUGUUGGUUUCUAUUUCCCUCACUGAGCAGCAACUGCAGUCACAAGACAUUGUUUUGCAUUCCACAGUCAGAGGUACUGUUGGGUUUCUCACGGGAAAGGGAGACUGGAUGUGACGUACACUGGUUUCCUGUUUUUACACUGUGUGAUUCUCUCCAAGCUGUUGAGGAGAGAGGAUGCAUUUUUCUGCUCAUGCAGAGGCAAGAUGUCUUUCUGUAAUAUACCAGCUUUGAACUGUAAAUAAAGCAAUAAAGAGUAUGCAGCACGUAUUCUCAUCCUUCCGCUGGCCACGACAGACUCUGCUUUAAAUCAACUGGAGACACUGGAAGCAGGGCAGGUACAUCGGGUGAACAGGGUGGUGUGGGGGAUGCACUCCUCCUUCCUGGCAUAUUCUGAGACAGAUUGGCCAAGCCAGUCUUGUUUGAUUGUCUUCUGAUGAGACAGACUCAGUAGCAUCAUACGAAAGGUUUGGCCCUUUAUAAAAUUGGGCACCUAGUGCAUCUUUGAGGUGUGCUUUUCUCCAUUUCUGUGCUGGUGUUCACAAGCAGGAUACAACUUCCAGUCUUUUGGUGGUUGCAUGUUUUGUUUAGGUUUUUUAAAAUAUCCAUUAUGUUUCUUGAGUAAAGUGUUAAAUGAUGUGAUAAUUAGGGAGGCCACAUGUUCUUCUUUAUAAAGGACUGUCCUCUGUCUCAAGGACUGUCUUGUCAAAGAUCAAUUUAAAGAUAAGGAACCACAAGAAGGGAGAGCAGGAAGGGCCCAGAAGCUGCCCGUUAACAAUUUGCACCUGGACAACAGGCUGAGAAGGCACCCAGUUCACCUGGACACAUUGCACUUCUGUUGAAAUGAGGCUAUUUCUCAAAUUUCACCUAUACACAUCGCGUCCUCUCUGUUUUCUUCACGAUGCCUAAGUAGCCACCCGAGUGAUAGCCCUGAUUUUACUCAGCAAUUCUUUAACAAUUAUUAUCAUUAUUUUACCCAGGCUUCUGUGAAUAGCGUCACUGAUUGCUUUGCUUUCACUCUCUUGCUUGACUUACGCAUGCAGCAGUUGCAAGGAAAUGAUUUAUUUGGCCGUCUGUUUUGAAGAAGUCAAUUUCGGGAGGGGCAAGGGGUUUCUCCACACACCCCACCCUCCUCAAAACAAACUCUCACGGUGAACUGAAGUCUCUAGAAGUGUGAAGAAUCAAACACUCAGAAAUGGAGCCCUUGUGGCUUUCUUCUUGGUCUCAUGUAGCUCUAUCAGGGCUAGACAAAAUAGUAAGCUGUAACAACUGCCUUCAGAUUUUGCGGUGGGGAGAGCAGCUGUAUUUUCCCAUUAUUAGAGCACGACCAAGGUCUUAAUCUUGUUCUUUCAUCUCUCUCCUCUCCUCUUUCACACACACUCCCAUACACCAGCCCCCAUUUUCUCUCUUGUACAUUCUGAUGCAUGGCAUUCAUUGUCUACGCUGUUUAUCCUCUCUGUGCCUUUGUGGUCGACAUUCUACCUGCAGCACACCAUGAUUCCCAUACCCAUGUACCCAUGUGAAGUGUCAGUAGUUUGGCUAAGGCCACUUUUGCACCAUACAUUCAAAGCACUAUGAUACCACUUUAAACAGUCACAGCAUCAUAACCCUCCCCCCCAAGAAUUAUGGGAGCUGUAGCUUCUAAAGGCUGCUGAAAGUUGUUGAAAGACCCUAUUCUCUUCACUGAGCUCUAGAUCUCAGAGUGGUUUAACAACCAAUCCCUCUUCACGGGGAACUAGGGAUGAAGAACAAGAGGCCACAGGGAACCAUGUUUGGAAGAAUUGUAUGUGAGAGUUUUGGCUGGUGCUGAAAGUUGGAGACACAGAGGCAUAUCUUGCUCUGUGCUGAACCCAAAGGGGUGGUUUGUGGAAGUUUCAGUGUUACAGAGUUAAUGCUGUGAGCCUUGCCCCCACCUGAGCCUACAUGUGUGUAAAUGUCAGGCUUCAGGGAAUAGGCUUCCUCCCCCCUUUGGCAGUAGAUAAGCAGACUCUUGAGAGUCCCAUGGACUGCAAGAAGAUCAAACCUCUCCAUUCUGAAGGAAAUCAGCCCUGAGUGCUCACUGGAAAGACAGCUGAGGCUCCAAUACUUUGGCCACCUCAUGAGAAGAGAAGACUCCCUAGAAAAGACCCUGAUGUUGGGAAAGAUGGAGGGCACAAGGAGAAGGGGACGACAGAGGACGAGAUGGUUGGAUGGUGUUCUCAAGGCUACCAGCAUGAGUUUGACCAAACUGCGGGAGGCGGUGGAGGACAGGGGUGCCUGGCAUGUUCUGGUCCAUGGGGUCACGAAGAGUCGGACACGACUAAACGACUAAACAACAACAAGCAGAACAAAGGAAAAGGAGUCUUCCUUACCCGUUAGAAACUUUAAUGACCACAGUGAGAGAACAAAGAAUCCAUUUCCUAGGAAUGAAGGUGCUCCCAAUUAAGGGUUCUACCCACUUCCUCCCUAGUCACCCACGUCUUGUAACCUGAUCUCGUAACAACUGUGCUUUCUGUGCUGUCUCCUUAUCUGCUCUUCUUGACCUUGGGCUGAGCAGAUGAAUGCUUUCCAGAGAAAGUGAGGCUGUUAACUCUCUUUCUCCCAGUGCUUCUCCUCCUAGCUGCUCCCCAUCCAGCACUUCCCAGUUUCUGCUUUCUGAACUAUGUCCCUCUGCAAACCACUGUUCCAAAUCUAUACUGUCUUCCUGCUCCUGGGAAUAUUCAGGAUCCUGAUCAGGAGCAGGGGGAGAUUGAGGCUCCUACUAUUCCUCCUCAGUGCAGCCCUCCUCAGCACGGUCCCUGACAGUAUAUAUGUAUAAAUAAAGCCAUAUAUCCUAAAGACACCACAGUGUCUGUUUACCAUCAUUCCAUGGAAACUGAACUCUGGCUAAGCUCUGGAAACACUGGGUUCUCUUGCCGCUUGGAGACAGGGGCAUGUGCAACAGUAUAUUAGGCAGAAUUAGCUGAUAAACUUUCAUGAGGACUUUUAAAAACCACAAAUCAGUGUGGAAAUGUGGAGAACGGAAUAUAAGAUGAGAAGAAUGAGAAAUGGACAGAAACCAACACUGCUGGAUUUUCCCAUCUCUAGCUUUUGCAUGGUCCCAGAUUCAGUCUCUGGCAUUUCCAAGCAGGACUGGGAGAGAAGCUUGUGUGAAAUUAGCUAGGACAAUUCUGAGCUAGAUGGAGUUGGUGGAAGGCUGUUUGUCAUGUAGCAUUGGGAUGGUUGCUGUGCUUUAGCAAUAACACAUGAAAGGUGCUCAUCGUCUACAAGUUUAGCCUUACAGAGCUUGUGACGGCAAUUCUGGGGCUUACAUCUACGUAGAAAUGUAUAGGGUUGAGCUGUAAGCCUCUCUUCUCACCAAUGGACUGGAUAUUAUCAUAGUUAGCCUGCCUACAAAAGGUUGUACUGUGAAUUAAUCAGUGUUUCUAAAGGGCUUUGAGAUGAAAAUGCCAUCCAAGAUGUAAGUGUUGGCACUACCAUCUUCCACAGGUAGCAGGUCUGGGAACACAGCCAACGUGUAGCUGGAGUAUGAAAUAUUUCUGCAACGCUAAACCACUCAAGACAAUAUUCUUCUUUUCUGAAAUGUGUUGUUGCCUGCCCCUGUGGCUUAAUUUUAUUUCCGUUGUUGGAGAACAACAUAGCCACAGUCUCUAACUCAGCAUUUUCUGUUUGUUUUAAAGCACACACUGCCUGAUAAACUGACCUUUGGUAGGAAGAAUAAACUUGAAAUCAGCACUCUUUUGAUUUUGAUUUUUUUGGCGGGGGCCUGGAAAAUUACAGCUACAACUGGACUGCUUGUGAAGCAGUUUAAGAAGAUGGCUUCUCUCUCUCUCUCUCUCUCUCUCUCUCUCUCUCUCUCUCUCUCUCACACACACACACACACACUUAUUCUCUCAUAUAUUUAUAAGCACUUACAAAUAUGAAUGACAGAGAGGUGGCUUUGACAGAGCCACAUUGGCCUUGUGUAGUUGUUCCUUGUGAACACCCACCCCUCUCAGGGCUGGCCCACUGCAAUUUCCGCCCUGAGGCAGAGGAGAAAAUGGAACUCCCUCUUCAAGUUUCAUAUAUAGAGUAUUGAAUACCAGGCAAAUCUCCCUCCUGCAAGCUCCUCUCCCAAGCCUUGACGGCAUAAAUGAAAUAGUAAUAAACAAAAUAAAUAAGAACUUGCUGCCUUUUCAUGACACCAGAAAAAAUGAGGGGCAGCACAGAAGAAAUGCAGUAUAUUUCUAGGUAGAUGAGUUAUAUCCCAUCUGUUCAAGGGUCUGAAAGAAAAAUAUCAGCAUGUGUUAAGGACAGGAGUCCAGCAAUUGGGGGGGGCAAGUGGGGAGGUGAGCUCCUUGUUUGAGUGGGCGCUUGCCCCCCACUGCACCACCCAUGCAUGGUACCUGCACUGCAGGGCAUGGCUGGAAAAGCUUUGCCGUUGACCAUGAAGGGGCAUCCUGGGUCAUUACCAAGUCAUUGCCUGACAAAAGAUUUCACCAUUUCAGCAUUCAUAAAUUGCAAGAUGGCCUGUUUUGCUGUCAAGUUCAGUUAUGGAAACGUGGCAUUCUACUGUGGAGCCAUGGCAGAUCUAUGGACUGAAACUGCUAAUGGGAAAUUAUAACUGUAUUUAAAUGCCACUCAAUCAUAAGCAGAGAACUGCAUUAUGGCCAGACAAACAUGGAUGCAAUCUUCUAGUUCUAUAACUCUUCAAAUUAUUUUUGCACCUUCUACUGUGCCAGUCUUUGUUGCAGAGAGAAGCUGAGUUAUUAACUUAUUUUAACGUCUAACCUCUCUCAGAACUGAACCAAGACAGCUCGAAAUAUAAUGAUAUAAUAUAAUAUAAUAUAAUAUAAUAUACAAUGCUGAGGGAGUCCUCUAUUUGCAGGGUGACCUGAGCCAUGAAGGCUGGUCCAUAUUGGCUGAGGCUGAUGGGAGAGGGAGUCCAACAAACUCUGGGUGGCCAGAGGUUUCCCAUUCUUGUCUUAGGAUCUCCCUCCUCACAGAAGUUGGGUUUGUAGGCAUUAACAGAACCAGUGUGAAAGUCUGGGAGGUUGUGCUUACAUCUGAAAUGUGGGACCAUAUCUCUCUAAGCCUGUGCAGCAUUUUUGUGAGAGGGGGGAGAGAGAAGAGGUGUUUUGAUUAAUAUCCCACAUGUGGGGAAUCUCUUAGUAUAAAGAUGCAACUAUGCAAAACUUUGAUGCCCAUAUGCACGUCACUUACACCUGCGCUAUGCAGCAGGUAGCCAGCACGCACGAUUUCCUUCGUAACACAUCGUGCUAUAUGUGCAAUUUGUCAGGAAUUGCUCCAGAUCACAUCUUGGGCUUGCAUAGGAGCUGGCUUGCACACAGUGGUUUGGCCUCUAAUUAGUAAUCUAGGUGAGAUCUUGAUAUGUAGCAAGGUUGUACCUGGAGGCUGAUGUCCUUCAUUUGUCUGCUAAUCAUCACUCAAUGAUUCAGGCAAGGUAAAGGCAAUUCCCACACUAUGUUACUUUUGGCUUCAUUUCUUAUAUCAAACCCUUUGUUACAAAUUUCCAAUCUCAAGUUAGUUUUCUUGUUUUUGCCUAUGAACCAAAACGUUACAUAAUUAAUUGCUAAUUGUUUUCCUCCCCCUUUUUCCAAUUUCUGACAUCCUCUGUGCAUUAGGAUGUUUGUGAAUUUUAACAGUUUCGGUAUUCAAAACAACAGAGAGAAAGAGAGAGAGAAGGGGUGUAUUUCUGGAGAUAGCUAUCAGGUUAUUGUCCACAUCACAACUUCAGAAGACCCACAUUACAAUAAGGUUCCGGGUCAGCGCCAUCGUUAAUGGCGGAUUCCCUCUGAGUCUCGGAGGGACCAGCUCCGCGGGAUCGGGUCUUACCGCUGCGGCAAAGUGGGGGCCCUUUAGAAAUCACAGGCGGGGGAAGCCUGUGAACGUGGGGACUCGGCGGGCACCAUUUGCGCCCCCCCAAGUUGCGAAGGGACCCUUUUAAGGGCUCCGGAGCGGGACGGGGUGAGCAGCGUGGUGCUGAGAGUCGACUGCUUCUUCCGCGGAGUGAAGCCGCACAGCCGUUAUCGGAGAGCGCUGACUUUUUCCUGGGACAAUUGGACUUUGAAAGCAACUACCCGUGAGUAGGAUUAAAUUGGAUUUAAAAGGAGAAAAAUUAAGUUAAUUCGACACCGAAGCGGGAAGGUAUAACCAGGAAGUCUGCCUUCCUUUCUUGUAAAUAGAACAAUAAGGUGAUUAUGGACCUUAUUUCCUAUUCAGGUCUUUCUCCACAAACACAAUGAAUGUGCAGACAGCCCCAUCAAUCUGUUGCAAUGCUCAUCUGAGAUGUGUGCUCACACAUACAAUCCUUUGUGGGCAGGUAGGGUCCAUAUGACUGAGACCCUGAUUUUUUCAGAGGUCCUGAUUGUGUGUAGUCCUGCCACUGCACAUAGGUUUGUACACAUGAAUGCAUACCACAGACACAUGAGUCAAUGCAGAAAUGUCUGCAGUUCACAACAACUGUACGUAAAACCAUAUAUUUGGGUAACAGUUGUGGAAAGAUGUUUCUUAAGUGCUUGCAUAAGCCUGACAAAAUAGAGAAAUUUUCAGUAGGCGUUUAAAAGCUUAAACAGAACAUGCCUGCUGAAUUAUAACUUACUGUUUCUGAGAACAUAUCCGCUGACAAGUUUGUUUGCAGGGAUUUUAGAAAAUAAUAAAUCUCAACAAAGGUAUAGUCUGGAAUGCCCAAAGUAAGUCUACAUACAGCCAAAUUCCAUACAUGCUUACUCAGAAGAAAAUUCCAGUGAAUUCAAUAGAUCUUAUUCCUGAAUAAGCGUGAUCCUCCAGGGCUUAAAUGCUGCAUAUACUUUUUAGAUCUCACUCUUCUGUUGAAGGGUCAGCUGUGGAUCAAAACAGGUUUAAAUAUACCCUGGUACCUUUCUAUUGAGUCCCAAAUAAGAAUGAAUUUGAUCGCAGUCUUAAAUGGUGGGGUGGAGAAAAAACUAUACAUUUGUAAAAUGAUUUGGAGAGAGGGUUACCAGAAAUCAACCAGGUUACAGUGCAAGUAGGAUGGAUCUUUUGAAGUCUCCAGUGAUGUGUUCAUAUGGCUUUCCAUUGACUUUUGUGUCAAAACAUAUAUCUGUUAGAACAAUGAUAUCCAGCAUUGAAUAGUGAUUAGCAUCAGAAAGAGACCUGAGUUCAAAUCCCUACCCAGCCAUAAACUCUGUGUGGGACCAUGGGCUAGUCACCAUCUCUAAGCUUAAACCUAAGCUUAAACUACCACAUUUUUAUCUGCUGUGUGGAUAAAAACAGAGGGGGAAACUUUGUAUGCCACACAGAGCUUUUUGAAGGAAAGGUCGGAUGAAAAUAGAACAAAUAGCAUCCUUGUGAUAAUUCAGGAAUUAACGGCAUGGCUCAGCACAAGGCAGCUUUCUAGGGUCGCAUUAUUGUUUCACAAAUAAAGACCUGGGAGUGCCUUAUUUUUCCAGAGUGAAAGGGAGAAAGCAUUUGAAGACCCUGAAAAUGAAUUCACUUCCCUUUCAUUCCAUGUCAAAACCUUGACUGUCUGAUCAGUCUUCCCUCUCAAACGUCUGUCCUUCCCUUUCUGCUCCACAGUUUUGAGAUCCUAUUUUAACUUGGAUCAUCUCUGCUGACCUCACUCAGUAGCUUAUUCUCUGAUCCUAUUAAGGUCACUCUGCUGUCAAGCUGCCUAUUCAAUCUGAAGAUAGGGAUGCCUGACAUUCAGAAGUUUGGAUGAGUCUUGAAGUCUGUCUGGAUAAUCUUAUCUGGCAUUCAUCCCUUUGAAGUUUGACUGUCCCGCCUUCCCUCCUAACAAUUCAACCAGAUUGUUCUACUUGUCCAACUGCAUUUCCCCAAAACCUCUUUCCCUAGUUAAAUUUCUCCAUUGGUCAAGUAUUCCAUAUAGGUUGAUUCUUCUCAACUACUGUCAGACCCAUAUCCAAAAUCUUCAUUAAUCAUAGGCCCCAAACCGUCAUUAAUCACAGAGGCCAAAACCUUGAUUAAUUAUAGAGUUGCUCUGGACAUAUUUCAUCACACCUGUAAGAAACAUUUGAAAGUAAACAUCCCAUUCCAGUAAAGUAAUCUUUAUUAAGAUGGAAGCAUCUUCGGACAUCUCAACUCUGGUUAAAAAGUUAUUCCUCUUAGGAACAAAGGAAACUGCCUUGUUCCGAGUCAGACCAUCGGUCUGAUUCUUUCUUUGCAGCCAUGGCUUGAACUUGGUUUGAAUAGCAUGAAUUGGAUGAGGAGGACUAACAUUAUGAAGAGCACUAACAUGAUGUCUUCAGUGGCUUAACAUCUGCUGUCAAUUGCAGAGGAGCAGAGCCAGAAAACAAACAGGUAGAAACCCUAACUAUGGCUGGUCCUCAGAUGUCUGAAGCUAGACCUUAUCUGUACUUCUAUUUUGCAUAUUGUCUCUCUGCUCCCUAUAGGGGUUUUCUUUAACAUACAUUCUGCCGAGUUAAAUUUAUGAUGAAAUUGUUGAGUUUGAGCUGUCUAGAUCUCAGCACUGAAUGUUGCUUAGACAUGUUUCAGUUUGGGCUGGGGCUCAUGAAGGGACCUAAUUAAUUUGCCCGGGCUCAAUUCCAUUUUUUAAAUAAAUAAAAAAUCACAUUCCCUUUCACUUCCAUAUUUUUGUCCCUCCCUCAAUGUUCAGUGUAAUUGGUUUUCUCUGCAUCCAGUCUUCUCUAGCCUGUCAACUUGACUCUCUCUCUCUCAUCUCUUCCAGUGCAGUUCUUCAUCCCUUUUAUGUUUUCCAGAGCUUGCUAUAUUAAUAUAUUAUUGUGAGUUUUUUAUUUUUUUUAAAAAAAAUCCAGCAUCAAAGAAAUGAUUGCAUAUCCUGGUUGAUCUUCAUACUUCUCCUGUCUCGGUGGCAGUCAUGUGAUGAAAAAACAGCUGUUUAUCUCAAUUAUGUUUUGAUUGUUAAUUAGCAUCUACCUGUCACUACUAGUCAAUUUCCUCCAAUGUCCCCCUCAGCUAUUUCCUUAGCAAGUCGUUCACCUGGUUUCCAUGAGAACUGUCUCCCUAUAUCUCUAUUCAGUCAAAUCUGCCAUCUACUGGGUUGUUAUUAGUGAUGGGAUUAGAUCUAUUAUUCACAUAGCAUUCAUUUGGGGGCUUCUAAAGUUCCAUCAUAUGCUGUCUCCUGAAAUGCUUAUAUUUUGACUUAUGUAACCACUUCUCCAUAAAAAGGCCCAAGGACCCAUCACACAUGUCCUCCUUCAUAUAACGGCUUCCCACACUUAACCUUAGAUUUUAUUCUCUUCUGGAAGUAAAUAUCCUCAGCCUCCUCUUCCCCAACACUGCUCUUCUGGAACAAUCGGCAUCUAGAUCUUUGCAGUACAGAUCAACCAGUGAACUUGAUUGUAGGUUUAGGACAGACAAAAGGUGGACAUAAUUUGCACAAUGCAGAAGUAUGAAAACAUGCUGUUUGGAAAAAGCCACGUAAAAGAACAAUACAUAAUUAGCUAACAGAAUCCACUUCCACUAAAUGCGGUGGCAAUACUAGUUCAGAACCAAGCUAGACAAUACACUUGCAUUUCCAUAUCUUUAAUUUUUCAGUUCUGUUGUGCCACCCCAAUUGUGGAACAUCAUCCCUGGAGGUUUGGCUGAUGCUGACAUUUCAAUCAUUUCGGUGCCAGAUGUAAGCCUUCCUUGUUUGCUGAUGGCAUUUUACAGGGGUUACAUUUUCCUGUGGUUUGCUUUUAGUUUUUCGCUGUUGCCUUGGCUUUUAAUUACCGUACAAUGGAUUAUGCUCUGCAUUCAUUGUAUUUUGUUGUCUUACACCACCCUGAGAUCCAUUUGGAUGAAUGGCGCUUUGGAUGUUUUGGAAAUACACAAACACAAGCAUACAGCAGUUGGGUACAAUUCAAAUCAGGACAAUCUCACUGACAAUGGCUAUGAAUCCAUUUAAGAUCAUGGGUCAAAUCUGAUCACAUUCUAAAGGAGCAGCAACUGAGAACUUUAAUCCAGAUCAAGUCCAAUGAGAAAAAGGCCACUGUGUGUAGCUUAGGGUUGCCAUAUUUCAAAAAGUGAAAAUCCAAAAUGUAUACUUCUGGCAUGGCUUGCCAUGUUUCCAAUGGCCAAAUCCCAGCUAUGUCUGGAAAAUUCCAGAUGUAUGGCAACUCCGGUGUAGCUAGAAGGAGGUUUGUUUCUUUGUUUUAAGUGACUUCAUGGCAGACAGACACCUGCAGAGGGACAAUUGGGCCCUGGGGCACUGGCAGCCGGACCAGCCAGAGUCAUUUUGCUGCUGCAGACAGAAUGCCCUGAUUCUAUCACUGCCCUACAAUGCCACCCCCUCCAGACCAAGACUGCCUCCCUUCACCCGCUGUGAUGUCCAUGCUGCCUCCAGCCUCACCACCAGAACUGCACCGUCGCCUGCAUCCAUGCUGCUACCACUAUGCAGCAGCAGCAACACUGAGGGCACAGUGGGUACCAUGGCAAUGGUGUGGCAGACACAGCGGUGUGAGCAACAGCAUUGUGGUGGUGUUGCAGGCAAAGCCCUGGCAGGGCUAACAUUGGCACAUUGUGGUGGUGUUGCAGGCAAAGCCCUGGCAGGGCUAACAUUGGCACAAGGCUUCACCUUGCCUCAUGGAUGGGCCAGCCCUGAUUAACAGCUGCCCAAGAAUGCUGCCUAAUGAUGCCAUGCAUGUUUCAAUUGCUUUUCAAGAGGAUCACAAAAAGCUUUUCAACAGCAAGCCUUUAUCAUUAUAUGUACAGAAGCCCAGAUUGUUAGAUGGAGUUAGCAAAAGAGAAUACAUUAUUGAAGGAGUUGGUGGGCACCAAUUCAAAAAGCUGAUGAGCAUCUGGGCCCAGGAUACCUGCCCUAGUGUGUGCCAAGAACAGAGUUACAUAACCGGGAUUACUAACUCCAGAAGGCUAGUUUUAAAAAUAAAAGCAGAGCUUUUAAUCAGUCUCUGGUUUGCCCUGAUGAAACCAUCCAUCACAUCUGGUAUCCAGGCUGCUGAAGUUUUGCCUAUCUGGAUUUCUGUUUAAGUAUGAUUGACUUGAUUGAAAUACCGGAAUGUGCCACUUUCAGCAAAAAUAUUAUUUUCGUUUUUGGCAACCAUCAUCUCAGAUUUAUUUUGGAAACCUUUCACUUAUUACUCGACUGAGCCUCAGGAAGAGUGUUCCAUUUUGCAGGUAUUUAUGCCUCUCGAGACCUCAUCUGGGGACAAGGCAGAAUGUAACCAUUCACUACAAAGUUUGCAGACAAAUUAGAAAGAAACUGGAAGGUAAAAAAGUAGCCUUAAGAUAUAGGGAAUAGUUACCUUUUAUUAAGUUGAGACACAGCCACAUUUCCCCCCCUCGUACUCCCCUGAAUGUGUUUCUUGAUGACUUGUAUUAUGCCAUCCAUUUCGCUGCAAACUGUAGGGCUUGUAAAUGAACAUUUGUGCAGCUGCAGGUUUUCAGAGCAAAUCACAGCAACUACUUCACUCACACUGUUCGCCUGAGCUUACAUUAUGGAUCUUAAUUCCAGCAAAUUGAAUGCUGGAUUAGCUUUCUGCCUUUCUCUUGCCCAUACAGAUAUAAUAGAAUGUUUGCCUUUCGAAAAAGCAACACUUGUGCUUUGCAUCAAUCAUAUGUCCACUCUUUAUCAAAAACACCCCAUGAAACCAUUUCCUCCAAAGUGGAAAACUGCUCCAUGGAUUGAAGGCAAGGAUGGCGUCUGUAUGAUGCUAUGGGCAUUGGCCAGUAGGUGAUAUCCAGAGCCAACUUUUCUCAAUUUUCAAAUUGAAAGCAUAAAAAAUUGUUCCUGCCCCCCACCCCCUCCAGUUUAUUCUAGGAGGAAAAAUAUGUUUGCAUCCACCCCACACCUGCACCUCUUGGAUAAUACAUAAGUCUCUGUUCUUCAUUCUAUGGCCAUUUGAACCUAGCAUGGAUUAUAGUCAUGAGGAACAGGGCUUUCUCAGUAGUGGUCCCUGCCCUUUGGGAUUCACUAGAAAAGUCCUCUGCUAGACAAAACUUGCAUCUUGGUGAGACAUUUGGAGAAUUAAGGUUUUAACUACUGCAAUGAAUUUGUGAUGAACAAUGUAAGUGUUCCUGGGUGACACUGAUUAUGUGGAUCCAUGUGAAACUGGGUUCAGGAUUAAAUGAGCCUUGGUCACGCUGAUGGAAGAGCUUUAUCGAGAAAGGGGCAGGGGGAGCACAACCCUGUUACUCUUAUUCAAUCUCUCAGCACCUUUUGAUACCACAGAUGAUCCAGUCUUCCUUAUGGUUCUUCUGUAUUUCUAUGUGUUAUUGCACCUGCAUAUUCUUGAUGUUUUAUAUGAGUGAGAGGUCUACAAAAAAAAAUUAUAAAUGAAAUUUAAAUAAAUGAUUUCACAUUAUUUAUGUGUUUUGUCUCUCUUGGGGGGGUCUGCCAGUCUGAAAGUCACAGUAUAAUUGUAAUAAAGAAGUAAGUACUGGAUGUGGUGCUAAUACUUCAUAAUGACAUACCCCUACUCUAAAAAUGUUACCAAAACAGGCCUGAAAACCAUGGACCUUCUGAUUUCAGAGAUCUCUUCUGAAAAGACACCCAGCUCUCUGGCUGCGAUUUCUGUGGUAUAUUUUCCUUCUCUGGAAGGCUGAGCCUACAACUUUCUGAAACAUAUAGAUUAAAUGUCAGAACAUUUCUUUUAAAAAACAACUGGAAUGAACUUGCUAAGUACCUGAUUAAAAAUCAUAAAAUACCAUCAUGUUUAUCAGGCCACUGUCAGGCCCAGUUCAUCAAAAACAAUUAGGCACAUCAAUUUUUAUCCAUUUGCUCAUGUGUGCUAUUAGACUAGUUUCCACUUUAAUCUGUGAAAUUCUGAGACAAUGAUGAUAAAGCAAGCAUGGUUUAAUCGGUUCUGACUUUGCCGAUGUGACAAUACCUAGGUGAAGAUGAUCACUCUUCAGAUAUACAUGGAACAUUUAUGAGUUCUGUGAAAAUUAUUUCUGAUAGUCUUUACUUUCUGCAACCAAAAUGAUUCUACAUUCCACCUCUGAAUAGCUUUCCAGCAUCCCAGCAACAAGGGAGGCAACUUGAAAGACCCUUUAAGGGGAAGGGGAAGCUUGGUGGCAGAACAUCUACAUGCAGAAGGUUCAGUCCCCUGGUAUCUCUAGGUAGGGCUAAGAAAGACCUCUGGAGAGCCACUUCCAGUCAGUACAGAAAAUGCGGAGCUACUGUAGAUGGAUCAAUGGUCUGACAGUAUAAGGCAGUUUCCUGUGGAUCUGGAAGAUUCUUAGGCUGUAUCCAUAUAGACUCUUCUUAGUGUGUUCUUCUGCUGAUUGUUUUCUCCUGAAAAACUUGUGCAUGCAAGAAGCCAUUUUGUAGUUUCCAUCUUAUGCGGCAGUGGGGUGUAUGAGAACACUGGAAGCAUGUGGGUGAAGGUAAUCAUCAGGAAAGUUUGGACCAGGUGGGAAAAGCCAUGUGACUGGUGGCCCUACCCACAUGAUAGCCGGAGAAGCAGGUCCCAUGCAGUGUGGGAUCCACUACGGACUGUUGUCAGAGAGGGGCUAUUGGGAUUAGACCAGGGGUCAGCAAACUUUUUCAGCAGGGGGCCAGUCCACUGUCCCUCAGACCUUGUGGGUGGCUGGACUAUAUUUUUUGGGGGGGAAUGAAUGAAUUCCUAUGCCCCGCAAAUAACCCAGAGAUGCAUUUUAAAUAAAAGGACACAUUCUACUAAUGUAAAAACACACUGAUUCCCAGACCGUCUGCGGGCUGGAUUUAGAAGGCGAUUGGGCCAGAUCCAGCCCCUGGACCUUAGUUUGUCUACCCAUGGAUUAGACUAUAUGUGAAUUGAGUCCAGUGAUGCUUUUAUUCCUGACAGGUGAGUGAUUUUCUGGAAUGGCUGAAGGGGAGGGCUUCCUAUCCUUUCCCUCCACCUAGCUGUUGAUCAACGCUGCAAAUGCUGUUUAUCAGUCCAGCUUUGCAAUGUUGAUUCUUUUGAGUAAACGAUGACAAAUUAUUCAGGGUUUUCUCUGUGGGUAACUUCCUCACUGAAGACAGGCCAUAUGGUAAAUUUCCAUUUUUUUAAUAUAUAUUCACCUUCAUUUUCUUUCUUUCAGUACAAUAAAUAAUACCUGGAGAGAUUCUCAGCAAAGGAGAAAGCUACAUUUAAAACCAAGGGGAAG